CUGACUGGAAAGGUUCACAUAAUCGUUUUGUUUAUCUUAAUGAUCUCAUUAGCAGCAAGAUUAGAAAGUCCUUCAGCACCUCUACCAGUGUGCUGAGCCCUGAAUGCUCAUCAUGUGGGAUGUCACACAGGUGCCUCCGUUCUGGUGGUGUGGGGAUGGCCUAAGGGCCCUGCAGAAGCCGGCGAGCUGAUCCACAAAAAGGCGCCUGAAGAUCAGCUGUUUUUUUCUGCACCGAAAAGAGGACCUGAAGUUUUGGCUUUGCAACUUGCUUCAGGAUAUGACCAUUUUUCAAACUUACAAAAAUGUUUGCAGACAGGUUGUGUCUGAUUGGCAGCCCAGCAGCAAAACUUCUUGUGACUCAUUUAAGGAUCACAGAAACAAAAGAAUCUCUUUACCUCACAGUAAAAAUACCUUACAGCCCCAUCUGGAGAACAUCCCCUGUCCCUGUGCCUGCAGGACCAUCCUGAAGUUCAACCCCAUGAGAUGCCAAAUGGCAGACACCUCUCUGACCUCCAGAGGGGACCCAGCACCAGCCUGGAUAGAAGGUUUUGGGAGAGAGGAGAGGUAAACACAUGUGAGGGAGAAAGCGUGCAACCGAAAGGGAGAGAGGCUGUUGGAAGGUUUCGUCAUUCCCCUGUCUAGAAGAUAUUUCUCCAUUGACUCUAUUUAAAGUCAGCCCCAGGCUUGUGGGCUUACAGAGCUUUUAGCAGAUGAAAGAACUCACUCAUCAGGCAGAGUUUUCUUAUGUGCUUUUUUUUUUUUUUUUUUCCUCCCCAGCUCUCACCGGUCUGUUUUAAAGCCAUUUCAGCAAUUGUUGAAAACUGUCAGAUGCCUUUGACAGAUCAAUACCUUACCGGGGAAUUUGCAUGACCUGUUCGCCAAUCAAAAUGCAAAUUGGGGAUACGUUUAAAGCACGA
rnacentral:lncRNA from 1 species